UGCCCAUUGGCCCAGUGGUUAAGGCGUCUGACUGUUAGUAAACAGAAAAAUCAGAAGAUCCCUGGUUCGACCCCAGGAUGGGCAG
rnacentral:tRNA from 1 species